AUGCCGGCCACUCACGCCGGGUCCUUCAAGUGUCGAUUCCACCGCACCAACUCCCAGGGCCACAGCCACGACCAGGGCCAGGGAAGCCGCCCUUCUUUGCCCCCUUCACUGGUCGCGGCCAACGCGGUGUCGCGGCACCCGGCCUCGCCGUCCUCGUCCUCCGGCACCGUCGCGACCCAGUGA
rnacentral:rRNA from 1 species